rnacentral:lncRNA from 1 species
AUAUAUAGAAAUUCACAUGCAUAUAUAUGUCGCAUUAAUUUGUAUACAAAAUUUGUAUUUCAACUUUAACAAUAUAAUGAUACUUAAAAAUAAUGAUAUGAUAGAAUAAAAUUUAGAUUCUUAAAAUAUGGCGUCUACCAAAACAAUCAAAUAGCUGGUGGAAAUAAACUAAAAAGAACAGGAAAAAUAAUAAUAAUAAUAAUAAUAUAGACAGUCCAAGGAUGCGUAGCUAAAGUGAAUAAAUACAUACAACUAUACAAGGUAUAAGUUACAUCAUUAAAUGACAACAUAAGAACACCUAACACCGAUUGCAAAAUAGUUGGAGCCUGAGAAGUAGGGUAGUUAGUAAACAGUGUCUUGUUGAGUCUGUUAACUUACUUCCAGCACACACAUUUUAACAGUAAAAUUAGCCCAAAUCGGUUCCCAGACUUGAGCUACAGAGCUAGCUUCAAAGUCUUAUCCGGGGUUCUUCUUCUUUUGGUAUAAUGCUUUUCAAGCCCCUUCAAUAUCUUUAUAUCACCCCCCAUUUUUUUAAUUAGAGUUAUAUUGUUAUUAAAGUUACGUAUAAAAACAAAUACAAAUUGAGUAACACUAAAAUAUUUUUACAAAUCAUGAAUCCUAACUGCUUGAGAAGAAGUAUAGGUGUAAAUAUUGCAUGACGACAUGUGGCAAAAGGUUGUCAAACAAGUGGAGGCAAAUCAUUUUAGGGAUGGCAAAAAUCCCCACGGGGACGGGUACCCUUGGGGAUUUUCCCCAUUCGGGGAGGGUAUGAGGAUAAUUUCAUACCCAAUUUCUUAUUCGGGGAGGGGACGAGGAUGAGGUGGAAUCCUCAUCCCCUACCCAUUUUCCC